rnacentral:rRNA from 1 species
CCUGGUAGCGGGGGGUAACUAUUGGAAACGAUAGCUAAUACCGCAUGAAAUGGAUUAUCGCAUGAUAAUCGAUUGAAAGGUGCAAAUGCAUCACUACCAGAUGGACCUGCGUUGUAUUAGCUAGUUGGUGAGGUAACGGCUCACCAAGGCAACGAUACAUAGCCGACCUGAGAGGGUGAUCGGCCACACUGGGACUGAGACACGGCCCAG